GACGAACGCUGGCGGCGUGCUUAACACAUGCAAGUCGAACGGAAAGGCCCUGCUUUUGUGGGGUGCUCGAGUGGCGAACGGGUGAGUAACACGUGAGUAACCUGCCCUUGACUUUGGGAUAACUUCAGGAAACUGGGGCUAAUACCGGAUAGGAGCUCCUGCUGCAUGGUGGGGGUUGGAAAGUUUCGGCGGUUGGGGAUGGACUCGCGGCUUAUCAGCUUGUUGGUGGGGUAGUGGCUUACCAAGGCUUUGACGGGUAGCCGGCCUGAGAGGGUGACCGGCCAAAUUGGGAUGGGGGAGGGACCCAGGCUCAAUGGGGGGGCAGAGGGGGGGAAAUGUGCAAAAUGGGGGGAGGCCGGGGGGGGGAACGCCGGGGGGGGAAGGACGGCCUGGGGGUUGGAAACCGCUUUCGCCUGUAACGAGGGGUGGGGACGGGAAAGGGGGAAAGAAGCACCGGCAAACUAGGG
rnacentral:rRNA from 1 species